rnacentral:rRNA from 1 species
AGAGUUUGAUCCUGGCUCAGGAUGAACGCUAGCGGCAGGCUUAACACAUGCAAGUCGAGGGGUAACAUAGUAGCUUGCUACUGAUGACGACCGGCGCACGGGUGAGUAACGCGUAUGCAACCUACCUCAAACUGGGGGAUAGCCCAGGGAAACUUGGAUUAAUACCCCAUAGUAUAUAUCUUUCGCAUGUUAGAUAUAUUAAAGUUCCGGCGGUUUGAGAUGGGCAUGCGUGACAUUAGAUAGUUGGUAAGGUAACGGCUUACCAAGUCUACGAUGUCUACGGGGUCUUAAAGGAUGGUCCCGCACACUGGUACUGAGACACGGACCAGACUCCUACGGGAGGCAGCAGUGAGGAAUAUUGGUCAAUGGACGCAAGUCUGAACCAGCCAUGCCGCGUGAAGGAAGAAGGCGUUCCGCGUCGUAAACUUCUUUUAUAUAGGAAUAAUGUUCUCUACGUGUAGAGAUUUGAAGGUACUAUAUGAAUAAGGACCGGCUAACUCCGUGCCAGCAGCCGCGGUAAUACGGAGGGUCCAGGCGUUAUCCGGAUUUAUUAGGUUUAAAGGGUGCGUAGGCGGCCCAUUAAGUCAGUGGUGGAAGUUUGCAGCUUAACUGUAAAAUUGCCAUUGAUACUGGUGGGCUUGAGUCUGGUGGAGGUAGGCGGAAUGUGUAGUGUAGCGGUGAAAUGCUUAGAUAUUACACAGAACACCGAUUGCGAAGGCAGCUUACUAUACCAGCACUGACGCUGAUGCCCGAAAGCGUGGGGAGCGAACAGGAUUAGAUACCCUGGUAGACCACGCCGUAAACGAUGAUAACUGGUUGUGCGCGAUACACAGUGCGCGACUGAGGGAAACCAUUAAGUUAUCCACCUGGGGAGUACGUUGGCAACAAUGAAACUCAAAGGAAUUGACGGGGGCCCGCACAAGCGGAGGAACAUGUGGUUUAAUUCGAUGAUACGCGAGGAACCUUACCUGGGCUUAAAUGUAGAGUGCAUGACUUGGAAACAGGUCUUUUCUUCGGAACUCUUUACAAGGUGCUGCAUGGUUGUCGUCAGCUCGUGCCGUGAGGUGUCGGGUUAAGUCCCAUAACGAGCGCAACCCCUAUCGUUAGUUGCUAGCAGGUAAUGCUGAGGACUCUAACGAAACUGCCGGUGUAAACCGAGAGGAAGGUGGGGAUGACGUCAAAUCAGCACGGCCCUUAUGUCCAGGGCUACACACGUGUUACAAUGGUCGAUACAAUGGGCAGCUACCUGGUGACAGGAUGCUAAUCUCCAAAGUCGAUCUCAGUUCGGAUCGAAGUCUGCAACUCGACUUCGUGAAGUUGGAUUCGCUAGUAAUCGUAUAUCAGCAAUGAUACGGUGAAUACGUUCCCGGGCCUUGUACACACCGCCCGUCAAAACCAUGGAAGCUGGGGGUACCUGAAGUACGUGACCGCAAGGAGCGUCCUAGGGUAAAACUGGUAACUGGGGUUAAGUCGUAACAAGGUA